CAGCCAUUACAAACGUGCCGAAACGAUCGAUGGGACAGCUACAAAUGUGUGUAUUCUUAGGUUUUACGAUAUCUUAACUUGUAUCGUUUCUACGUUACCACCUACAAACAUAUCAUUUUUGGCUGACCAACGAGAAAUAUCUGCUCACGGCUGUCGGGUGCGUAAAAACGUUUCGGGUGAUGUACUGACAGAUGGAUGACUUUGACCUGUAAGCUGUCACUCGCAGUGGAAGCCAGAUUGUGCCAGUGAUGGACUCCGAUUUCGUAACCGGAUACAGUGGCCUGCAGGGAAAAUCAAAGCAUGCGCGUUAUGCUGCUACAGACCACUAUAGAAACAGAACCCUUGAAUGAUGAUUUGGAUUGAAGUAGUUAAAAGUACGUAUUAUACAAUCAUUCUACAAUGCAGCAACAAAAUCUACAACAUUUGAUUAACUUCUGUAAUUACAUGUAAUUAAAUCCAAUAAAAUGAGCAAACUGCAUUGAAUAAGUUUUAUAUGUCGCCAACAUUACGUAGCAACGUCACCUGAAAACCAUGGAAGACCCAUCCCUCCAGCCACUACAUAAUCCUAGUUCAAAUAAUUAUAAGAAACUGCCCUUGGCAUCAUAAAGCUAAUCGCAUUGUGCCUUAAUAAAUACAUCGCGGGAAAACAAAAUAUGUAUAUGUCGCCAAAAGAGAA